CUCCUCACAAGCUUCAUGUCCCAUGAAUAGUCCUAAUUUUCAAAGGACUUCCGAAGGUCAGAAGUUGCUAGCUCAUCCGGAUUCAUUUAGUGAACCGGGCAAGGACCUCCGUGGUUAUUGGGAUUGUGAGUGCAACCAGAAGGUCCAGAUGGAGUGACCGGCCCUCGAAGGUACUCCAACAAGAGUCCACCAUUCUCCAUCCAUGUCUCUCCUUCCAAAGGCCUCGCC
rnacentral:lncRNA from 1 species